AUUAGCCUCUCACCGGUUCUGCCUAGCAGUCCACUCAAUCUUUCCCUGGUGCUCAAUCACAAACUACUUCAGUUCUUCUCCUGUUUAAUUUUUUGUCUACUUGAUUAGACAAAAUUAACUUAACUCCAAUCAGUUAAAAAGAGUUGCUCCCUGUCUCUCAUUCUUUCUUUUAAGUCACAAACACACAGCUGUUAAACAUAUUG
rnacentral:lncRNA from 1 species